CAGUCCUGCAAGCUCCAUUCGUGUCUCUGAGGACUCUGAGGCUCUAAUGCGUGCAUCUCCACAAGGGAUUGGGUUUCUAAAACACUGUGCUAAGUGCUGAGGUAAAGUGGUGAAAAUGGUCAGCAGGAUGGUCACUGUACCUGCCCUCAUCUGGCUUCCUAACAGCUCUGUGUACUGGACUCUGAGUCUCUAAGGAUGGAAGAGCCAUAGUUGGAAGGGGCCUGGAUUCCUGAAUCACUAUAUGGAGGAAAAUCACUUGCUGACCAGGAACACCCUUAUUGGACUAGUUAUGUGGAUACUCAAGAGGCAAAGUUCGCCCAGGUCCUGGCAAAUGCAUAGUUUCAUUGUUUCUUCAUGUGUGUCAAGCUGUGCCCUGCACCACGUGGAAACCUGUGAAGUCCAGCUCAGCAUUUUGUUUGCCCAGUCACCAUGUCAACAGUGUGAAUCAUAGUUGUAGUAACUUUAUUCAUCAAUUGCAGUGUCCUAGGAAAAGAUCACAGCAGUCCUCCAUGGCAACUCAGUUGAAAAUCACUGAUUUGCAGUGAUUGGUCAAGACUUUUUGCUAGCAAUCCAAAAAAGAAAAGAAAAGAAAGAAACAAAGAAAGAAACCCCAAGUGUGGCUGUAUAGUAUCUCCUAAAUAGAGAGUAUUAUUUAUUAAACAUUUCCUGUAUUUUUCAAACACUCGGGUUAUUUCUAGUUUUUCAUUGCCAUAAAUAACUGUAUAUACAGGACUACCUUUGUUUCUUUUCUUUCUUUCUUUUUUUUUUUUUAGGCUGGUCAAGUGAAGUAGUGGAGAAGGAACAAAGGAAUCUGUAACUGUUUGUGAUCAAUUAGUUGUAAACACCACUGUGCUCAGACCAACCUAAAGGACUACAUUUGAAUAAAUAUCUUUGCCCAUG